ACAAGUCCUGCUGUGCGUGCGGAGCAGUCUGCAUGCGCACAUCCGUCCCAUGUGCACCAUUGCACAUGACAUUUCUGCGAGUCGUCUGAUUGUCGCUCCAAAUAAUAC
rnacentral:misc_RNA from 1 species